UUGGCACAUUUCGGCGAGUGCGUGCACGCUGUUUGCUUGAGAGCUUCCUGCGUUUUCUGCGUUCUUUGUGUGCUUCGCUGUGACAUCUUUGGAAUAUUCCUGCGUGUUGCUCGCUUUUUAUGGGCUUGUUGCCUCGAAGAUCGCCAUGAUCGCCUCCGACUCGGCGACAUUAACGAUUCAAAAUGAGCUGAGAGACACCCAAGCUGGAAUGCUAAAGGUUCACAUAGGCUGUAAGAGUGCACAUUCAGAAGGUUAUCCUGGCCCAGCUUACUAUGGCCUGCCAUGGUGGACCAGGAAAGUUUGCAAGGGCCUUGCUUCACCAUGUGUUCACAGAGGAGGAGCUCAUGGGCCAUUUGGGCUUUGGAAAUAACACCAAGGGGCAACAGAGGCUCUUGACCCCAUCAGGGUCAGUGCUGUUAUAGGCUUCACGUGUCGCAAAUUUCCUGGUACCAACAUGCCCUAUGUAAAGAACUCUGGCCUCGCUUCUCGCAUGGGACCCUGCCCCUGAAGCAACUGCCCCUGCCCCUUCACCUCUGAAGAGCCCAAGUUGGACAGCUCAAACCAAAACACAAGUGUUGUGCUCUUGUAACUCUCGACAUUCUUAUGUUUUAUGUUAGUCUCCUGAAGGACCCAAUUUGGAUUUCUCAAAUGAGCAUACAAAUGUUGUGCCUUUCUAUGGCUUGACAUUUUUAUGUUAAUAUUAUUUAUGUUAAUUAUGCUAGUCUCCUGAGAAGCCCACAUUGGAUUGCUCAAUCCAGAAUACAAGUGCUGUGCUUUGUUAUAGUUCACUACAUUUUUAUGUUAGUUUUUGAUAUGGUUCCAGUAAGGAUAGUGUUUCCUUAUUAAUAUAUUUUUUAAGUAUCUCAAGUCAUUUCAUGCCAAACCACCCAACAAUUUUCUCAAGAACUGUUCCAUUAUGGCAAACCAUUUCAAGUUUGCUUGAUUUUGAGUAGGUACAGCGAGAAAAUGUUCGAGAAAAUUUGCUUUCAUACAUACUCUUAAGUCAUUCCAGGGCAACCAACCAGCGUUUUUUUGGCCAUCACAGAUAUAGUUGAAGCUCCGAACUCUUGCUCCCCAUUUAUUUUCCUUCACAAAAAUUUUUUUGAAUUUUGGCAAAAAUUUAUUGUUCUUGCCCAGCUAAGCUAGAAGCCACUGAUACACGUUUCUUCUGAAAGGGAAAUUGUAUGAUCCAGAUAUUCAGAUGGUGUUCAUGUCAAGAGACUGAAGUGGUGACUGCCAAAAUUUGCAAAGUUUGAAUUUUCUUCUAACGUAGGGAAAUACAGAAGGCACAAAAUGAAUAUAAAAUCAGACUGGUUGACUUGGUAUAGCUGCAAAAUAUUUCAAGCCUUGGAGGUUCAGUUGAUCAGCUAAAAAAACUAAAGUUGAAAUUUUUUGCAAGCUUCGUGUUGAAGGUAAAAAAUUAGCUUUGGUGGUUGGCACAAAAAUGUGUCACCCAUCACUACACAGCCGUACAUGUCUGCUAUGCAUGUGACAAGUAACAAAAAGUUAUUAUUCUUUAAGUGCGAUAAAUUAUUUUUUAUAAUGUUCAUUUGUGGAUCACACAUACAGCAUAAAUAUAUGAAGCCAUGUCAUCUAGGAAGGAAAGGUUGUUAAUAUAUUAGCCACAAGAACUACUCAACAAACUGACUGCCUUUUUUAUCAUUACGAAAGCAGGUGACGUCAAGCGCUGCAGCUGCAGUCUCAACUCGUAUUUUUUUAACAUGAACGCAAAAAGUGGUCGCCAAUGGUGUCUGACCACAUCAGACUGAACAUGGCACAUAUGACUUUUAUAGAUGAGCAUGUUCCAGCUCUGAAACAGUGGUAGCAAACAACACCACAAGAAUUUGUUCAUACUCAUGUAGGUUUUCAGUCUGAAUUAUGAAGGUGUUUUCUACUUGCAUCAUCAUUGGGCUUCAGGGAGC